rnacentral:rRNA from 1 species
UUAGAGUUUGAUCCUGGCUCAGAUUGAACGCUGGCGGCAGGCCUAACACAUGCAAGUCGAGCGGUAGAGAGAAGCUUGCUUCUCUUGAGAGCGGCGGACGGGUGAGUAAUGCCUAGGAAUCUGCCUGGUAGUGGGGGAUAACGUUCGGAAACGGACGCUAAUACCGCAUACGUCCUACGGGAGAAAGCAGGGGACCUUCGGGCCUUGCGCUAUCAGAUGAGCCUAGGUCGGAUUAGCUAGUUGGUGGGGUAAUGGCUCACCAAGGCGACGAUCCGUAACUGGUCUGAGAGGAUGAUCAGUCACACUGGAACUGAGACACGGUCCAGACUCCUACGGGAGGCAGCAGUGGGGAAUAUUGGACAAUGGGCGAAAGCCUGAUCCAGCCAUGCCGCGUGUGUGAAGAAGGUCUUCGGAUUGUAAAGCACUUUAAGUUGGGAGGAAGGGUUGUAGAUUAAUACUCUGCAAUUUUGACGUUACCGACAGAAUAAGCACCGGCUAACUCUGUGCCAGCAGCCGCGGUAAUACAGAGGGUGCAAGCGUUAAUCGGAAUUACUGGGCGUAAAGCGCGCGUAGGUGGUUAGUUAAGUUGGAUGUGAAAUCCCCGGGCUCAACCUGGGAACUGCAUUCAAAACUGACUGACUAGAGUAUGGUAGAGGGUGGUGGAAUUUCCUGUGUAGCGGUGAAAUGCGUAGAUAUAGGAAGGAACACCAGUGGCGAAGGCGACCACCUGGACUGAUACUGACACUGAGGUGCGAAAGCGUGGGGAGCAAACAGGAUUAGAUACCCUGGUAGUCCACGCCGUAAACGAUGUCAACUAGCCGUUGGGAGCCUUGAGCUCUUAGUGGCGCAGCUAACGCAUUAAGUUGACCGCCUGGGGAGUACGGCCGCAAGGUUAAAACUCAAAUGAAUUGACGGGGGCCCGCACAAGCGGUGGAGCAUGUGGUUUAAUUCGAAGCAACGCGAAGAACCUUACCAGGCCUUGACAUCCAAUGAACUUUCUAGAGAUAGAUUGGUGCCUUCGGGAACAUUGAGACAGGUGCUGCAUGGCUGUCGACAGCUCGUGUCGUGAGAUGUUGGGUUAAGUCCCGUAACGAGCGCAACCCUUGUCCUUAGUUACCAGCACGUAAUGGUGGGCACUCUAAGGAGACUGCCGGUGACAAACCGGAGGAAGGUGGGGAUGACGUCAAGUCAUCAUGGCCCUUACGGCCUGGGCUACACACGUGCUACAAUGGUCGGUACAGAGGGUUGCCAAGCCGCGAGGUGGAGCUAAUCCCACAAAGCCGAUCGUAGUCCGGAUCGCAGUCUGCAACUCGACUGCGUGAAGUCGGAAUCGCUAGUAAUCGCGAAUCAGAAUGUCGCGGUGAAUACGUUCCCGGGCCUUGUACACACCGCCCGUCACACCAUGGGAGUGGGUUGCACCAGAAGUAGCUAGUCUAACCUUCGGGAGGACGGUUACCACGGUGUGAUUCAUGACUGGGGUGAAGUCGUAACAAGGUAACC